CCCACGAUUCUCCCCGGCCAACCUCCCGCCGCCGCCUACUUGGCUCCGGCGCGCCUCCCCCGCUGCUCCACGGGUCCGGCGUGCUUCCCGCCUCCACCUAACUCCGGCCACCUACCGCCGUCGCGCUGCCGCGCGGGAUCGUGCCGUUGGGCGACAUCUUGCCGUCGCCGCUCGAGAUUCCGUCGCCGUUGGGCGACAUCUUGCCGCCGCCGCGCGAGGCCCGUCCGCCGCCGCAUCACCACCGCACUCCGCAGGACCGGCCACCCUCUCCCAUGUCGCUCAGUUCAACCUCGCCGGCCAACGCGGUCCACCACGUCGCCUGGAUUCCAAUCCAACCCGCCAUCCUGCUCGACCAAGUUCCUCCACCUGUCUCGGCUACUACCUGGACCACCACCUGCCCGGUCAUUGUGGCAUGUGGCUGCCCAGCACAUCGACGCCUGCAAGACAUAUUUGCAGGUGCAAAAAAGUUGGAUGUAGUGAUAUGUUCGUUCAGUUUCACAGGUCCUUCAAUAUAUGCAAAAAAGAGUUUUCUCCAAAAUGCAUCAACGCCGUGAAGUGCUAAUUCUUCUUGUGUGCUUCUGUAAAGCCUUGUGUUUCAGUCACCUCCAUGACGAACCAGCUCGUCCUAUUUUGCAGAAGCAAGUCGCACGAUAGUUUUUAGGCGGAAUGAAGUCCAGAGGAAGUUGCUAGCGGUGGUAGAACUUGGGAUUUGGGCACACAAGGAAGAAGACGAAAAAAGAAAAAUGGUGAGUUGGAGAUUGCAUGUUCGUUGCACCGAAGGAUAAUAUCAUUUAGGUUUUAGCUAGAUAACACCUAGUGGGGUAAAAAAAGCAUCGCUUUGUCCAAAAUCCGCUGGUCAACUUUUUGCUCUGUUUAAUGGUUUGGUUCACACACUAAAUUCUUGAUUGUUUCUUUAUGUAUGAGCAUCAGACUUGAUUUAAUUGUGACGUGGUUCACUGACAGUAAUUUUAUCAGUUCAAUAAUAUAUGUACAAGUUGACCUCCUAGCGAUAUAUAUGCAUAGGAAUUUUGUUCUCGGCUUUGUUUAUUGGUGCAUGCGAGAUGUUUUUCAUGUUAUGGACUACCGAAGUAGUUCAAAAAUCACUCACCACGAAGAGAACGGAUGAGCAACGCACAGGCCGUUCAACUUCGCCGCCUCAGGCCGUGCUACUCCGCCCAAGUGAGCAAAAGGGGACUAGUUUCUUCUUAACUUUUAUUCUGCACUUGUAUGGUACAUUUUGUCUCAGUUAUUAGGUGAUUUUUUUCUUUCACUUACAUUGUGUUCAACAAUGCAGAAAAGUUUGCCUACAAACUGUUCCGCCCAAGUGCUAUGCAGCCGGGCCGAGGGAGCAGUGCCAAGCUGCAGCCUUGAUGCUGUUGACAGCCACGUGCUCCAUCACGGGCGGUUCAAAAAUACUAAUGCUAGUCGGCCGUAUAGGUUCAGUAGUGCUAUAAUGCUUUUGGUCUUGAUGUUUGGCCGUACUUGAGGUUCCAUGCUUGAGGUUCAGCUUGGUACAGUAUAUGGGAGCAGUUUGGAUUUGGUAUUUUUCUACAAUUUGGCACCAUGUUAUAUGUAUUUUAAACUGCACAAAGUAUAUAACACUUAAGAGUCAAAUUUGUUUUGCAA